rnacentral:rRNA from 1 species
AGAGUUUGAUCCUGGCUCAGGAUGAACGCUAGCUACAGGCUUAACACAUGCAAGUCGAGGGGCAGCAUGGUCUUAGCUUGCUAAGGCCGAUGGCGACCGGCGCACGGGUGAGUAACACGUAUCCAACCUGCCGUCUACUCUUGGACAGCCUUCUGAAAGGAAGAAUAAUACAAGAUGGCAUCAUGAGUCCGCAUGUUCACAUGAUUAAAGGUAUUCCGGUAGACGAUGGGGAUGCGUUCCAUUAGAUAGUAGGCGGGGUAACGGCCCACCUAGUCUUCGAUGGAUAGGGGUUCUGAGAGGAAGGUCCCCCACAUUGGAACUGAGACACGGUCCAAACUCCUACGGGAGGCAGCAGUGAGGAAUAUUGGUCAAUGGGCGAGAGCCUGAACCAGCCAAGUAGCGUGAAGGAUGACUGCCCUAUGGGUUGUAAACUUCUUUUAUAAAGGAAUAAAGUCGGGUAUGCAUACCCGUUUGCAUGUACUUUAUGAAUAAGGAUCGGCUAACUCCGUGCCAGCAGCCGCGGUAAUACGGAGGAUCCGAGCGUUAUCCGGAUUUAUUGGGUUUAAAGGGAGCGUAGAUGGAUGUUUAAGUCAGUUGUGAAAGUUUGCGGCUCAACCGUAAAAUUGCAGUUGAUACUGGAUAUCUUGAGUGCAGUUGAGGCAGGCGGAAUUCGUGGUGUAGCGGUGAAAUGCUUAGAUAUCACGAAGAACUCCGAUUGCGAAGGCAGCCUGCUAAGCUGCAACUGACAUUGAGGCUCGAAAGUGUGGGUAUCAAACAGGAUUAGAUACCCUGGUAGUCCACACGGUAAACGAUGAAUACUCGCUGUUUGCGAUAUACAGCAAGCGGCCAAGCGAAAGCGUUAAGUAUUCCACCUGGGGAGUACGCCGGCAACGGUGAAACUCAAAGGAAUUGACGGGGGCCCGCACAAGCGGAGGAACAUGUGGUUUAAUUCGAUGAUACGCGAGGAACCUUACCCGGGCUUAAAUUGCAGAUGAAUUACGGUGAAAGCCGUAAACCGCAAGGCAUCUGUGAAGGUGCUGCAUGGUUGUCGUCAGCUCGUGCCGUGAGGUGUCGGCUUAAGUGCCAUAACGAGCGCAACCCUUGUUGUCAGUUACUAACAGGUUCUGCUGAGGACUCUGACAAGACUGCCAUCGUAAGAUGUGAGGAAGGUGGGGAUGACGUCAAAUCAGCACGGCCCUUACGUCCGGGGCUACACACGUGUUACAAUGGGGGGUACAGAGGGCCGCUACCACGCGAGUGGAUGCCAAUCCCCAAAACCUCUCUCAGUUCGGACUGGAGUCUGCAACCCGACUCCACGAAGCUGGAUUCGCUAGUAAUCGCGCAUCAGCCACGGCGCGGUGAAUACGUUCCCGGGCCUUGUACACACCGCCCGUCAAGCCAUGGGAGCCGGGGGUACCUGAAGUGCGUAACCGCGAGGAGCGCCCUAGGGUAAAACUGGUGACUGGGGCUAAGUCGGAACAAGGUA